rnacentral:pre_miRNA from 1 species
AGAGGUGUUGAACGCAGCCAAGGAUGACUUGCCGGCGUUCCUUUUCUUUCGACGCGAAAAAUGUAGCCGGCAGGUUGUUCUUGGCUAAGUUUAUCUCUCU